rnacentral:rRNA from 1 species
AUUGAACGCUGGCGGCAUGCCUUACACAUGCAAGUCGAACGGCAGCACGGGAGCAAUCCUGGUGGCGAGUGGCGAACGGGUGAGUAAUAUAUCGGAACGUGCCCGGUCGUGGGGGAUAACGUAGCGAAAGCUACGCUAAUACCGCAUACGAUCUACGGAUGAAAGCGGGGGAUCGCAAGACCUCGCGCGAUUGGAGCGGCCGAUAUCAGAUUAGGUAGUUGGUGAGGUAAAGGCUCACCAAGCCGACGAUCUGUAGCUGGUCUGAGAGGACGACCAGCCACACUGGGACUGAGACACGGCCCAGACUCCUACGGGAGGCAGCAGUGGGGAAUUUU